GACGAACGCUAGCGGCGUGCUUAACACAUGCAAGUCGAACGGAAAGGCCCUGCUUUUGUGGGGUGCUCGAGUGGCGAACGGGUGAGUAACACGUGAGUAACCUGCCCUUGACUUUGGGAUAACUUCAGGAAACUGGGGCUAAUACCGGAUAGGAGCUCCUGCUGCAUGGUGGGGGUUGGAAAGUUUCGGCGGUUGGGGAUGGACUCGCGGCUUAUCAGCUUGUUGGUGGGGUAGUGGCUUACCAAGGCUUUGACGGGUAGCCGGCCUGAGAGGGUGACCGGCCACACUGGGACUGAGAGACGGCCCAGACUCCUACGGGAGGCAGCAGUGGGGAAUAUUGCACAAUGGGCGAAAGCCUGAUGCAGCGACGCCGCGUGAGGGAUGACGGCCUUCGGGUUGUAAACCUCUUUCAGUAGGGAAGAAGCGAGAGUGACGGUACCUGCAGAAGAAGCGCCGGCUAACUACGUG
rnacentral:rRNA from 1 species